UCUAGAACUCAAGAUAUGAGCUGAAAACCGAACAAUGUAUGGGCUGGACAGAUUCUGACUUCUGAGUUGUUGCUACCAUUUGAACUCGAAAAUGGCACUUUUAAAUCUUGGACUCCGCAUGAAAGUUUUAGGCCUAUGUAGGCUUUCCAUA
rnacentral:pre_miRNA from 1 species